GGCUCAUCAAGAGAGGUGGAGGGACCGGCCCUGAGAAGCCUCGGCAACCCAUGCGGGUGACAGGAUCUUCGCCAGCAGAAGGUGCCAAGUCCGGCAGAGGAUAAGCGAAUCUUCGCGGAUCUUCUGGGAGAUGAGGG
rnacentral:ncRNA from 2 species